CUCUUCCUGUAUUCGGCCUGUUAUCUUUGUCGUUCCAUUUGUAGACGAUUACUCCAGAUUCAUCGCUCCAUUCUCCAUCGAUUCCUUGGUGGGGUGGUGCCAGGGAAAAUAGUCCUUUAUCUCCUGAGAUCAUCAAAUGCAAAUGUUCAUAUGGAUAUAUGAGGACCAAGAACGAAUAGUCGCAGAAGAAAUUAUACGAAUAGAAGCUAGAAUGUCAAAUGAUUCACUCAGUAAUCUCGCAUCAAUCUCAGACAACUGAAUUCAUUAGCUGUGAUAACUACUUACAUAGCUCCAGAGUCCAGCCCAAAACAGAACACAAAUCGUGGCAAUUCAAUGUCAAAAUGUACCGCGGACUACCCUUGGAAACUCCCAUCGUCACAGCCCAAGAACAUGGCACGUAUUUUCCACUUUGUCAAACUUAACAAUUUGUCCUUUGAGCUAUACCACCUUCGAACCUAAUAAGUGUGUACCAUCAACCGUGUUAACUUGUUAGCUAUAACCCCCUUGACGGAGGGCGGAUCAAGAAGGACUGACUGAUUAGGCAAAGCAAAUCCCACAUCGAAAUGGAAUAAAAAAAGUGAAGAGUUUUAUAACACAUAGCUCCACUUCAAAUGGCAUGCAAGCUUUUGAAGCUCAACGCGGUGUAGCCCGAAAGACAAUUCUAUGCUUGGGCCUAAGCCCAAAGCGGACAAUACAUGUCACUCAUGGACAUGAGUCGUGAACGCUAGCCUAUGUCCAAAAGUGUGUAUUUAUAUACCUCUUCUU
rnacentral:lncRNA from 1 species